ACCGGCGCACGGGUGAGUAACACGUAUGCAACCUACCUGUAAGAGGGGAAUAACCCGGAGAAAUUCGGACUAAUACCGCAUAAUACUGAUUAUCUGCAUGGAUUGAUCAGUUAAACAUUUAUGGCUUACAGAUGGGCAUGCGUAUGAUUAGAUAGUUGGUAGGGUAACGGCCUACCAAGUCAACGAUCAUUAGGGGUUCUGAGAGGAAGGUCCCCCACACUGGUACUGAGACACGGACCAGACUCCUACGGGAGGCAGCAGUGAGGAAUAUUGGUCAAUGGGCGAGAGCCUGAACCAGCCAAGUCGCGUGAAGGAAGAAGGUUCUAUGGAUUGUAAACUUCUUUUGUAAGGGAAUAAAAAGAGUUACGUGUAACUUAUUGUAUGUACUUUACGAAUAAGGAUCGGCUAACUCCGUGCCAGCAGCCGCGGUAAUACGGAGGAUCCAAGCGUUAUCCGGAUUUAUUGGGUUUAAAGGGUGCGUAGGCGGGCCCUUAAGUCAGUGGUGAAAGUUUGCAGCUUAACUGUAAAAUUGCCAUUGAAACUGAGGGUCUUGAGUGUAAAUAAGGUAGGCGGAAUGUGUUGUGUAGCGGUGAAAUGCUUAGAUAUAACACAGAACACCAAUUGCGAAGGCAGCUUACUGGGAUACAACUGACGCUGAGGCACGAAAGCGUGGGGAUCAAACAGGAUUAGAUACCCUGGUAGUCCACGC
rnacentral:rRNA from 1 species